rnacentral:misc_RNA from 1 species
AAGUUGCUAGGAAACCCAAGAAACUACAAAUUUGAAUUAAUAGAUCUUGGCAAUCUUUGCUGAGAUCUUUCAAUGAACUCUCCCUUGCAGUGAAGAGCUCACCAUUUAGGUGAACUCAAUCAAAUGACACAGACCUCCAACAGCUUCACAAUCUAAGGAUGUCACAAUCAACACAAUACACAUGAUAGAAAUACCUCACAACAUGUGCUAUAGUGCUUCCCUUCACAACCUUCUGCAUGAUCACAACCUAAAUAGGCCUGCAUGCUCUUGUCCAUAUGGACAUUUUCAGCAUGCACACAAUCAAAAAGGCUCCACAGGCACAGCCUAUCAGACUCAGAUCUCAUAAUUUUCAAAUGAAUUAAUCUCUGAAGAAUUCGUUGGUGGUUGGUGAAAAUUUGCUGAAAUUCUCCGAUAUUUCUGAAUUACCAUCAAAGCUGGGACCUUAAUAAUCUAUUAGACAAAAUUCUCUUGUUUGAGUUUGCAUUCUUGUAACAAAAACCAAAUUGGCACCCAAAUUUGGAUUCAGAUGCAUGAUUUAUAAUGGCUAGUUAGCGUUAAGGUUAGCGGAUGGUAAAGUAUUUUCUUGGCUCUAAUAUCUUCUUACAAAUUAAUUUAAAAAAUUAAGGAUUUACUAACAUUGCAAAAAAAAUUAUAAAAUAAUAUUAAUUUCUGCCUCAUCAAUAUUUUCAGAUUAAUUCAUUCUUGAUAGAAUUCAAUUGUUUAAAAAUAAAGUUCAAAAAAAUACAAAAUAAAUAGCACAAAU